rnacentral:snRNA from 1 species
GGAUGUAAGGGCAAUCUGGCUGUGAGGUCUGUCAUCCCAUUGAUCACAAGGGUUGAUCUGGCCUAUUUGGCUAGCUAGGCAGAUGUCACCUUUCCCCCUCUCCCCUCAAUGUGUGUCCCUCACAAAGCUGUGCACUAGGUAAAACAGAAAAUUAUAAUGCGGGCUGGGGUGUAGCUCAGUGAAAGAGUGAAAACUUAGCGUUCAAAAGACCCUGGGUUCAAUUCCCAGCGCUCCAAAAAUACAAGACACAAACUAAAUAUUCAUGAUUUUGUUUAAGACAAGAUUAUUGA